GGUUGUCUCGUCAAACAAUAUAAUGGAUCAUCUUUUUGACUGAUUUUCCUCUGCAAUGAUGCCAUGAAUUUAUGUAAAUAGGCACUUCAAAAAUGAAAUAAUCUGGAUGGCUGGAUUGCAACUAUGGGUGUUUCUACUUUUAUCAUUUAUAAUCGGAUCUUCGCUUGUACUAACACUAGCCUACACCUGCAUCCUAAAUCCAUAUUGGAUAAGAUGAAAUUGAACUGCCAUUUUUCCGUAGAAGUUU
rnacentral:misc_RNA from 1 species